rnacentral:lncRNA from 1 species
GAGCCAAUAAAACAAGAUCUUUAAUGUUUAGCAUUAUUAUUAAUAAUAAAUGAAUUCCACAUCACAGGAAAAAAACGUGUUGUAUUUACAUCUACAAUCCACAUCACUGUUGAUUCAUGCUAACACAAUAUAUACAAUAAAUUACUUUUGGAGUAAUUCAAAAGGUUUUCGUAUGCCGUAAGAGUAGCCGACUGUCCAGAUUUGUCUGAUCUUUGAUGGAAAAAUUCACAAAAUAAUGAAGCAUAAUGAAAAAAGUCAAAAUAUUUUUGUAUGUUUGUCAAUGUUUUUUUUUUUUUUUAGGUUUUAAAAACACAUUUACAUCAGAAAGUACAAGGCAGACAAUUAAUAAUCACAAUCUAUACAUGGCCCCUUUUAACCUUAUGAAUCCACAGCGUCGUCAUAACUACUUACAGAAGAGAGAGAGAGAGAAGAGCCUGACGAGGUGGUCUGGGGAAAAAUAACUGUAAUGAUUUCAAAACUGUUUUGUAACCCCCCCCCCCACAUUUGUACCGCCAUUUGUAGAAAUCAAAUAAAUUGGGAGGUUUUGCAUAGGUCAUAGGUCAUACGCAUAAACAUGUUCCUUCAUAUAUUUUUGGCUCUGAAAGCAUGCUAUUCAUGAGUAUGUAAAAUAAUUUUUAAAAAUUAAAUGAAAAGUUACAUGGAAAACAUGAGGGGGAAUUCCUGCUAUUUCAGCAACAUUGCUCAUAGAGAUAUAGUUGCUAAUUAAAACAAACUAAUGGUAUUACACUGGCUUCUACCAUCUGUGGAGGACACACUAUCUAAUCAAAUACAUUACGCACGCUACCACUAGUGACUAUAUUAACACUCUUACACUUAGAAAUUAGGAUUAGUGGCAGUAGAUUAGGAGUGGCAGCAGGCCUGGAGGUAAAAUGGUGAACCUGCAGGGGAGGGAGCCAGCUGACGGUGUCUGUCUCUCUGUCUGAGUCCCUCCCUCUCUCACAACCAGUGAAUAACCUAGGUUCAUGUUCUUUUAACCCUCCCUCCCUUCCAUCAUCACAAAGAGUACAAUCACCACAUAACGGACACAAAACAACCUAGACGGACAGUAGUAGUGGGACAUUGUUUUGAGUGUGUUAUACAGGGGGGUUAAUAAAUACACAAUAUCAUCUUAUGUAUGGCAUUGUUAUAUAUGGAAUACAUCAGCUACACAGAAGCAUUAGAAAAUAAAUUAAAUUCAGUCGAUUCAUUUAAAAAUAAAAGUCAUUCUUCAUUAGGAGACAUGCGCCUACUGUAUACCCCAUUACUGAGACAAGUAAAUACUGAUUGUAGCCAUGUCCCUUCUGAGAAAGAGGAAAUAUACAUGAUAGAAUCUACAAUGAGAGCUGGAGGACAUGAGAACAUGACAGCUGGAGGACAUGAGAACAUGACAACAGGAGCACAUGACAGCAGGAGAACAUGACAACAUGAGGACAUGACAACAGGAGAACAUGACAACAUGACAACAGGAGAACAUGACAACAUGACAACAGGAGAACAUGACAACAGGAGAACAUGACAACAGGAGAACAUGACAGCAGGAGGACAUGACAGCAGGAGGACAUGAGGACAUGACAGCAGGAGGACAUGAGGACAUGACAACAGGAGGACAUGACAACAGGAGAACAUGACAACAGGAGGACAUGACAGCAGGAGGACAUGAGGACAUGACAACAGGAGGACAUGACAACAGGAGAACAUGACAACAGGAGGACAUGACAACAGGAGAACAUGACAACAGGAGAACAUGACAACAGGAGGACAUGAGGACAGGAGAACAUGACAACA